rnacentral:rRNA from 1 species
UGGGGAAUAUUGCACAAUGGGCGAAAGCCUGAUGCAGCAACGCCGCGUGAGUGAUGAAGGUCUUCGGAUUUGUAAAGCUCUGUCUUUUGGGACGAUAAUGACGGUACCAAAGGAGGAAGCCACGGCUAACUACGUGCCAGCAGCCGCGGUAAUACGUAGGUGGCGAGCGUUGUCCGGAUUUACUGGGCGUAAAGGGUGCGUAGGCGGAUGUUUAAGUGAGAUGUGAAAUACCCGGGCUUAACUUGGGUGCUGCAUUUCAAAAGCUGG